rnacentral:rRNA from 1 species
UACGGGGGGGGCAAGCGGUUGUUCGGAAUUACUGGGCGUAAAGGGCUCGUAGGCGGCCAACUAAGUCAUACGUGAAAUCCCUCGGCUUAACCGGGGAACUGCGUCUGAUACUGGAUGGCUUGAGUUCGGGAGAGGGAUGCGGAAUUCCAGGUGUAGCGGUGAAAUGCGUAGAUAUCUGGAGGAACACCGGUGGCGAAGGCGGCAUCCUGGACCGAUACUGACGCUGAGGUGCGAAAGCGUGGGGAGCAAACAGG